UACAGAGGUCCCGAGCGUUGUUCGGAUUCAUUGGGCGUAAGGGUGCGUAGGCGGUCUGCUAAGUUUGAUGUGAAAUCCCGGGGCUCAACCCUGGAAUUGCAUUGAAUACUGGUGGACUAGAGUACUGGAGAGGAAACUGGAAUUUACGGUGUAGCAGUGAAAUGCGUAGAGAUCGUAAGGAAGACCAGUGGCGAAGGCGAGUUUCUGGACAGUAACUGACGCUGAGGCACGAAGGCCAGGGGAGCAAACGGG
rnacentral:rRNA from 1 species